AAGUCGUAACAAGGUCUCCGUAGGUGAACCUGCGGAGGGAUCAUCAUAGGAAGCAUAUUUUGUGAAUUCAUUCACCAAGUUGUGGGGGGUGUGUGGGGGUCAAGGUUUUUGGGGGUUUGCAUACUCUGCAACACUUUCUGGGAGACUUGGCUUUCCUCGCUUUCUGCAGCUUCAUCCAAACGAUCACAACAAUUAUCAGAGAAAUUUGACUUGGUGUGGGGGUGCCGUUUUACCACGGCUCUAGUCAAAAGUGUUUGCCUGACAGAUGAUAUUCUCAAUGCCAUUGAUUUGUGGUGGUGGUUGGGUUGGAAAAUAAUCAAUAUACAACUUUCAACAACGGAUCUCUUGGCUCUCA
rnacentral:misc_RNA from 1 species